CUUGGUAAACAUCUUCUUAUUCCCUGCACUUUCUUUGAUCACAGAUUCAAUCCCAAACCUUUUCUCCAACUUCACUCGUCACCGUUUCUCAUUUCAGUACACCAUUCUUCAUUACCACCAAUCCACCCAAGGAGCAGAAGAGAUAGAGAAGCUUCAUCAUCAACCUCUGGACUGAAAGAAGAGAUAUAGACUCUACAAUUCACCAAAGAGAUAGCCCAAAAUUAUUUGAAGCAAACUUGUUUUGUCUGCUACAGCUGUAGAUUAAUCACAUCAAAGGACAACUUAUUUCUCCCUGGUUAAUUCAUCCGUUCCCACCAUCAAAGGGGUGCAGUGCAGUGAUUAGCCACACAUUUGCUUCCUGGUCCACGUAUUGCUCAGUUUCCAUUCUCUUCUUUCAGACUACAUUCUAAUUUUCUGAAUAUUCUGUGGUACAACAACGAACCUUGAGCACACAGUCUCCACCAAAAAGGAGUCGACAGGUAGUAAAGCUUCAACAAUUACUGGACUGGACUGACUACUAAGCCCGAUAUCAUUUGACCACUCUAUCCCAAACCUUUUCUCCAACUUCGCUCGUCACCAUUCUUCAUUACCACCAAUUCAACAAAGGUGCAGAAGAGAUAGAGAAGCUUUCAUCAACUUCUGGUUUGACUUGUGAGACCGAAAUCAUUCGAAGCAAACUUGUCUU